UAAAGAAUAUUGGUCAAUGGACGCAAGUCUGAACCAGCCAUGCCGCGUGAAGGAUGAAGGUCCUCUGGAUUGUAAACUUCUUUUAUCUGGGACGAAACCCCGAUUUCUAUCGGGACUGACGGUACCAGAGGAAUAAGCACCGGCUAACUCCGUGCCAGCAGCCGCGGUAAUACGGAGGGUGCAAGCGUUAUCCGGAUUCACUGGGUUUAAAGGGUGCGUAGGCGGGUUUGUAAGUCAGUGGUGAAAUCCCCGAGCUUAACUUGGGAACUGCCAUUGAUACUGCAAAUCUUGAAUUUUCUGGAGGUAAGCGGAAUAUGUCAUGUAGCGGUGAAAUGCUUAGAUAUGACAUAGAACACCCAUUGCGAAGGCAGCUUACUACGGGAACAUUGACGCUGAGGCA
rnacentral:rRNA from 1 species